rnacentral:lncRNA from 1 species
GAAAGCGUGUCUCUACACGUACAGGGACCAUAACUGCAGUGGUGCCCCUCACCUGCUGUUUCACUUUCUCUGCUUUCUGUCACCUGCAGUCAACAGGAGGCCGAAAAUGCUAAAUGAAAAAUUUCAGAAAUAAUUCAUAAGUUUUAAAUUGCACACUGUUCUGCGGGUUUCUCGUGCAGAAGCACAGCAAUACCAGGAUGUGACAACCCAAGAUGGCUACUGAGUGACUAAUGAAUAGGCUGGCAUACAUGGAUACGCGGGACAAAAGGAUGAUUCACACCCUCCAGCAGGAAAGACUGAAGUCCCUAUGAUACAUCUGGCCCCGCUACUGUGACCUCUGUGGAGAUAUUUUCAAGCCCCUCACCUCGUUAGAAGGAGGCAGCUCCUGGAAAUUGACAGUGGCCUUCAUUUCUAGAACUCAUGAAAGCAAAUCCGGGACAUCGGUGGGUAACAUUGCAGGUAAGAUGGC